AUCAGACUUCCUUUUUGUUUAAGGAAAGCAAUUAUUUCUGAAGUCAGUGAAGAUUAUAACCAGGGAUAAUAGCAUAACUUUGCAAAGCACUGUGCCUUUAUCUCAGUAGAACCUGAAGUUUAAGCUUUCAAGUCUGACCUUUGAGAACUCUACAACAGAAACCUUUAGUGUUGGGCAGUUUUUAAACCAAAGUUAAACAGUCAGUAGUCUGUUUACUAAUUGUACUAUAUUAUAUUAUGCUAUAACUAUAAUACAUUACAUUACAUUACAAUAAAAUAAAAAAUAGACCUCUUCUGAUAGUUAAAAUUUGUUGUGACCAUAUUUGUUUUUCUGUUAGCAGAUAAGUUUUUUUUGCUGUGGGAUUCUGCAGCCCUUUAGAGGAGGGAGGGCUGUACCUGCACUGAACAGGCUGUGAAGUUUUUGCUGUCAGGACUGAAUUUUGUGUUCACCCAGUCAAGGAGUAGAAGCAUAUUCCAGAGAUGGAUUGCUUCUAAGUAAUAGACUUCUGAGUGUACAGAUUCAUAAAUGCCAUAAUGGAAAGACUAAAUGCCUGUACAUGCAGAACAGCUGGAUUCCAGCACUGGCAAUGCUGUUACAGAGGACUCCAGGCCUGAGAAACUCCUGUGAGAAGCAUGAGGAAUUUAUCAGAGCGUGGCUCAAUCACAAAUUACAUGAGUUUGUUGAAGAGAGUGACACCUACAUCCCUGGGCCAAUCACAGACUGAUCAUGCUGCUGGCAAAGUUACAUUUUCUCUGAAGGAGGCACUAAAGCAGUUUUGCCCAGAUCUUGCAUGCAAACACUUCUGCUAAGCUUGAAGAUGAAACUGUUUAACAAACAAGGUAAGUAUAGAACAAGUAAAACAAUAAACAAUUGUAAUACCAGAAGAGAAUUCA
rnacentral:lncRNA from 1 species